GAUGAACGCUGGCGGCGUGCUUAACACAUGCAAGUCGAACGAAGCACUUUGGACAGAUUCUUCGGAUGAAGUCCUUAGUGACUGAGUGGCGGACGGGUGAGUAACGCGUGGGUAACCUGCCUCAUACAGGGGGAUAACAGUUAGAAAUGGCUGCUAAUACCGCAUAAGCGCACGGUACUGCAUGGUACAGUGUGAAAAACUCCGGUGGUAUGAGAUGGACCCGCGUUGGAUUAGCUAGUUGGGAGGGUAACGGCCUACCAAGGCGACGAUCCAUAGCCGGCCUGAGAGGGUGGACGGCCACAUUGGGACUGAGACACGGCCCAGACUCCUACGGGAGGCAGCAGUGGGGAAUAUUGCACAAUGGGGGAAACCCUGAUGCAGCGACGCCGCGUGAGCGAAGAAGUAUUUCGGUAUGUAAAGCUCUAUCAGCAGGGAAGAAAAUGACGGUACCUGACUAAGAAGCCCCGGCUA
rnacentral:rRNA from 1 species